rnacentral:rRNA from 1 species
UGGGGAAUCUUGCACAAUGGGGGCAACCCUGAUGCAGCGACGCCGCGUGAGCGAUGAAGCCCUUCGGGGCGUAAAGCUCUUUCGACCGGAACGAUAAUGACGGUACCGGGAGAAGAAGCUGCGGCUAACUACGUGCCAGCAGCCGCGGUAAUACGUAGGCAGCAAGCGUUGUUCGGAGUUACUGGGCGUAAAGAGUGCGUAGGCGGUUUUCUAAGUUCGGUGUGAAAUCUCCCGGCUUAACUGGGAGGGUGCGCCGAAGACUGGGAAGCUGGAGUGUGGGAAAGGCAGGCGGAAUUCCUGGUGUAGCGGUGAAAUGCGUAGAUAUCAGGAGGAACUCCGGCGGUGUAGACGGCUUGCUAGACCAUAACUGACGCUGAGGCACGAAAGCGUGGGUAGCAAACA